rnacentral:rRNA from 1 species
UACAGAGGGGGCAAGCGUUGUUCGGAAUUACUGGGCGUAAAGGGCGCGUAGGCGGCCAACUAAGUCGGACGUGAAAUCCCUCAGCUUAACUGGGGAACUGCGUCUGAUACUGGAUGGCUUGGAUUCGGGAGAGGGAUGCGGAAUUCCAGGUGUAGCGGUGAAAUGCGUAGAUAUCUGGAGGAACACCGGUGGCGAAGGCGGCAUCCUGGACCGAUAUUGACGCUGAGGAGCGAAAGCCAGGGGAGCAAACGGG